rnacentral:tRNA from 1 species
GGGGUAGUUUUGGCAUUGUCCGACACCUAACCCAUUGACUUUAUUGAUCCUUGUACUGACUUUUAAUCAGUAGGUCACAGGUUCGAACCCUGUCGGGCUCACCA